rnacentral:rRNA from 1 species
AAACCAACUGGGAUUACCUUAGUAACGGCGAGUGAAGCGGUAAAAGCUCAAAUUUGAAAUCUGGUACUUUCAGUGCCCGAGUUGUAAUUUGUAGAAUUUGUCUUUGAUUAGGUCCUUGUCUAUGUUCCUUGGAACAGGACGUCAUAGAGGGUGAGAAUCCCGUUUGGCGAGGAUACCUUUUCUCUGUAAGACUUUUUCGAAGAGUCGAGUUGUUUGGGAAUGCAGCUCAAAGUGGGUGGUAAAUUCCAUCUAAAGCUAAAUAUUGGCGAGAGACCGAUAGCGAACAAGUACAGUGAUGGAAAGAUGAAAAGAACUUUGAAAAGAGAGUGAAAAAGUACGUGAAAUUGUUGAAAGGGAAGGGCAUUUGAUCAGACAUGGUGUUUUUUGCAUGCACUCGCCUCUCGUGGGCUUGGGCUCUCAAAAUUUCACUGGGCCAACAUCAAUUCUGGCAGCAGGAUAAAUCAUUAAGAAUGUAGCCACUUCGGUAGUGUUAUAGCUUUUUGGAAUACUGUUAGCCGGGAUU